AUCCAGAUGACGAGUCCCAAAUAGGACGAAAUGAACAUCCCCACUGCAU
rnacentral:hammerhead_ribozyme from 1 species